UCAACGGCUCUUUUCAGAGCCACCGAAUCGCUGCUUUAUCGCGCGC
rfam:Ixodes scapularis strain Wikel colony gcontig_1107729184874, whole genome shotgun sequence.